rnacentral:misc_RNA from 1 species
AAAAAAAAAAAAAGAAAUGUGGAUGGAACAUCACAUCAACACACAAUCCAGUACUGAAGAAAACUAAAACAACUAAAUAAUGUACUUGCUAAUGCAAACCACAUGAAUGUAUGCUCAUAAAGAUUAAAAAGAACAGUCAAAACUUACUUUGGCUUUAACUCUAAAAUGGCUCCAGCGUAAACUAAAGUUUGCUUGAAGAUAUCUUUCACAUCUGCAUCUGUAGAAAACUCAAUCAAAGCCGUGCCACAAAAAACCCUUUUGUCUGCCACAUGACGAGGAAGCCUCACACUAUUAACCUAUAACACCAAUAAAAGAAUUCAAAACCAGAAAAUAAAAUAGUAAAUGCAUAUGAACCAAUAUCAAAACCAUAGGCACAUAGCCAAAGACUCCUCCACUCUCCUUUUUUUGAAGCACCUGAUAAAAUUUUCUGGAUAUUAUAUUCGAUACUCAACUUAUAUAAUAAUUAGGACAAAGGUUCUAUCAAUAAUAUAAACUAUCCAUGGAUCAAUUUUUAAUCAAAGAAUCUUUCAUAACCAACGACAUCAAAUAUGAAAGAUGAAACAUCCAUAGCACCAAUACAACCCUUCAAAUCUUAAAAGUGAGUACAAUUAUAUCAAUAAAUCAUAAAUGACCGAAG